GUUGUGUGUAGUGGUUAUCACAUCCACCUAAAACACGGAAGGUUCCAGGUUCGAGCCCUGGCAGAAACA